rnacentral:tRNA from 1 species
CAGGACAUAAUUUAAUGAGAAUGUUAGCUUUGGGGGCUAAUUGUGAAGGUUUAACUCCUUUUGUCUUGA